rnacentral:rRNA from 1 species
AUUGAACGCUGGCGGCAUGCCUUACACAUGCAAGUCGAACGGUAGCACGGGAGCAAUCCUGGUGGCGAGUGGCGAACGGGUGAGUAAUAUAUCGGAACGUGCCCAGUCGUGGGGAUAACGUAGCGAAAGCUACGCUAAUACCGCAUACGAUCUAUGGAUGAAAGCGGGGGAUCGCAAGACCUCGCGCGAUUGGAGCGGCCGAUAUCAGAUUAGGUAGUUGGUGAGGUAAAGGCUCACCAAGCCGACGAUCUGUAGCUGGUCUGAGAGGACGACCAGCCACACUGGGACUGAGACACGGCCCAGACUCCUACGGGAGGCAGCAGUGGGGAAUUUUGGACAAUGGGCGCAAGCCUGAUCCAGCAAUGCCGCGUGCAGGAUGAAGGCC